rnacentral:rRNA from 1 species
UACGGGGGGGGCAAGCGUUGUUCGGAAUCACUGGGCGUAAAGCGCACGUAGGCGGAUUGUUAAGUCGGGGGUGAAAUCCUGAGGCUCAACCUCAGAACUGCCUUCGAUACUGGCAAUCUCGAGUCCGGAAGAGGUUGGUGGAACAGCUAGUGUAGAGGUGAAAUUCGUAGAUAUUAGCUAGAACACCAGUGGCGAAGGCGGCCAACUGGUCCGGUACUGACGCUGAGGUGCGAAAGCGUGGGGAGCGAACAGG